GGGCUGCGGGCCGGGCUCUGUGGACCAGCUCCUAAUCCUCUUGUUUUCGGAACCGUCAGCAGAUGUGGCUUCUCUCAGCUGAAUAAUCCGUUAAAGGAAUAAUUUCUUAAAAGGAGAGCGACCUCACCCAAGGAGGACUGUGAAGGCGAUCAGAGCUUGUAGAUCUACUGCCUGUGACUUGGGCUGGCUGAGUCGCUGCGGACUGCACCCAGGCUCUUUUAAAAGAGAACAAAAAGAUGAAGAUGUUCGGAUGCUGGGACAAAGCACCUUGGGCUCGGUGACAAGGGACGCGCGGAGGACUGGCUCCCCAGCCCAAGAAACCGGCGCUGCCCAAGGGCAUCCAUCGGGCGUUUGGACUUCGAAGGGUAUUCCCACUCAAUUUUGUUGAUCCUUUAGACGUGCUCUGAGAGGGUCAGUGUUAGAGAGACUCUGUGUCCCCCACCCUGUGGGGGGGGGGCGCUGAAUGCGGAUCUGAUCUUUAGUCUUUUCUGCCUCUCCACCCCAUCUUCUUGAGAUAUUUAGAAAGGAGAAUUGGGAUCCGGAAGACUUAGAAAAGAGGAGCAGCUGGAUGCUGUCUGACAGACCUAGGGUACUAAUGGGGUAAGAUGAGUAAUGGGAUGGGCCAGCUGAAUGAAGGCUGUGUACCGACUCUAUCUUGCCCACCCUGGGGCACAGGAUGAGUUUUGCAGGAAUUGGGAAGGUAGGGUCUAUGUUCAUGCACAAGGUGACUGGACUUCUGUGUAAACAGAGUGGAGAGGUGGAGGAAGGCAGGGAAAGAAGGGGCUUAAAAUAAUGUCUUUUUGUCCCCACGGGUUUGGGGAUCUGUCUCUCUCUCCUCCCCUCCCCUCCUCCAUCCAGCUACAUUAUAUAGGAGUGACCUUUUAAAUCUACGCCCACCCUUUACCCAUGUAAAGCCCGUUGACAGGGACGGGGUGGGGAGACUGUAGGGGUGUUGUUCUCUCUCUCUCUCUCUCUCUCUCUCUCUCUCUCUCUCUCUCUCAUCUUUAAUAAC
rnacentral:lncRNA from 1 species